AGAGAAGCAGUGUUGUCGGGAGACAGGCACAGAUGAACAAUAGUCACAGAAGCCUACUCAGCCUCUGUGUCUGCAGAGGAACUUAAGACUUCCCUCCUGUACUGGUAAUUGCUUUUGAAAAGACUUUCCGGCCACAAGAAAAUCAAAUCAAAUUUCUAAUCAAGCAUAUUAAGAUUUCCAGGCUGCAUCCCUGCUGGUUGUAAAAAUCAUUUAAAAGAAAUUCUGGGCUUGGUUCUUUUGACAUUCCCUAACCAGCUGCUCUGUUGCUGUGACCCUUUUCUGCUCAGAGGGAGUAAAGGCAGUUUAACGCCGGGUCUUCACCUUCCUGGUGUGAGCAAGAGAACCGCAGAGGAAGAAAGAGCCCCAGCAAUUGCUUUGAAAUACCCAGGAGCUGGCAAAUGAUGGACAGCAAACAGACAACGGAGACCCUGCUGUCUCUGUCACCUGCUGAAACUGCCAACCUCAAGGAAGGAAUCAAUUUUUUCCGAAAUAAGGCUACUGGCAAAGAGUUCAUCCUGUACAAGGAGAAGGACCACCUGAAGGCAUGUAAGAACCUCUGCAAGCACCAAGGAGGCCUGUUCCUGAAAGACAUCGAGGACUUAGACGGAAGGUCCGUUAAAUGCACAAAGCACAACUGGAAGUUAGAUGUGAGCACCAUGAAGUACAUCAACCCUCCAGGGAGCUUCUGUCAGGACGAGCUGGUUGUCGAAAUGGAUGGAAACAAUGGGCUUUUGCUUAUAGAACUGAAUCCUCCGAACCCUUGGGACUCUGAUCCCAGGUCCCCUCAAGAGUUGGCUUUUGGGGAAGUACAGAUAACAUAUCUCACUCAUGCCUGCAUGGACCUCAAGCUGGGAGACAAGAGGAUGGUGUUUGACCCUUGGUUAACUGGCCCUGCUUUUGCCCGAGGGUGGUGGUUGCUACAUGAGCCUCCAUCUGACUGGCUGGAGAGGCUGUGCAAAGCAGAUCUCAUUUACAUCAGCCACAUGCACUCAGACCACCUGAGUUACCCCACUCUGAAGCAGCUUUCCCAGAAACGACCAGACAUUCCCAUUUAUGUUGGUGACACAGAAAGACCUGUGUUUUGGAAUCUGGACCAGAGCGGUGUCCGGUUAACUAACAUCAAUGUGGUACCAUUUGGACUGUGGCAACAGGUAGAUAAAAAUCUCCGGUUCAUGAUCCUGAUGGAUGGCGUUCAUCCUGAGAUGGACACAUGCAUUAUCGUGGAGUACAAAGGUCAUAAAAUACUCAACACAGUGGACUGCACCAGACCCAAUGGGGGAAGGCUGCCUGAGAAAGUUGCUCUGAUGAUGAGCGAUUUUGCUGGGGGUGCUUCAGGCUUUCCAAUGACUUUCAGUGGUGGAAAAUUUACCGAGGAAUGGAAAGCCCAGUUCAUUAAGGCGGAGAGAAGAAAGCUUCUGAAUUACAAAGCUCAGCUGGUGAAGGACCUGCAGCCUCGAAUCUACUGUCCCUUUGCUGGGUAUUUUGUGGAAUCUCACCCAUCUGACAAGUAUAUUAAGGAAACAAACGUCAAAAAUGACCCGAAUCAACUCAACAAUCUUAUCAAGAAAAACUGUGAUGUGGUGACAUGGACCCCACGACCUGGAGCUACCCUUGACCUGGGCAGGAUGCUGAAGGACCCAACAGACAGCAAGGGCAUCGUGGAGCCUCCAGAAGGGACAAAAAUUUACAAGGAUUCCUGGGACUUUGGCCCCUACCUGAGGACCUUGCAUUCUGCUGUAGGAGACGAAAUCUUCCUUCACUCGUCCUGGAUAAAAGAGUACUUCACUUGGGCUGGAUUUAAGAGUUACAACCUGGUGGUCAGGAUGAUUGAAACAGAUGAAGACUUCAACCCUUUGCCUGGAGGGUACGAUUAUCUGGUGGACUUUCUAGAUUUAUCUUUUCCAAAAGCAAGACCAAGCAGGGAGCAUCCCUAUGAAGAAAUCCGCAGUCGAGUGGAUGUCAUCAGGUACGUGGUGAGGCACGGCCUGCUGUGGGACGACCUGUACAUUGGAUUCCAGACCCGGUUGCGGCGGGAUCCUGACAUAUACCAUCAUCUAUUUUGGAAUCAUUUUCAGAUAAAACUCCCUCUAACCCCGCCCAACUGGAGGUCUUUCCUGAUGCACUGUGGUUAGACCAGACCUGGCCUGUCCCAGGGACCCCAGCCCAUAGGAUGGCGCUCCCCACAUUCGAGACAGCAUCAUGAAGACUGUUUUCAGAGGGAAUUGCUGACACUAUCGAUUUACCAGACACAGGCCGAGGAGCUGCCCCAAAAGGUCCCACCUCACUGAAAUGGAAAUGGAAAUGACCUUGAUUCAGUUAUGAAAUCUGUCAAUUAAUGGAGCUUGAGAAUUCUAACAGCUAGACAGAUCUUUGAGGGAUGAUACAACAUGCCUGUGGGUUUUUACGUCUAUUUUUGAUUUAAGAAGUUAUGAUUAUUUCAGAUGUACUAAUUGGUUUGUAAGAACCUAUAAUUGGUAUCCAAGGUUCUACUUUGCAUGUGGUUUUCUAAUAUCGCUUCAUACAGUGACAAUCAAGUGUUCUUUCUGUCACCUACCUCUUGAAUGUGACCUCAGAUUGUUUCCUAACUCCAAUCAAUGGAAGACUGGCUGUCUCCUUCUCACUAAAAUCAACAACACAGAUGGAUGAUAGAUCGUUCUUGUUUAUUUCACUCUAGGGAAAAUAAAAUUUCUUAGAAGUCAGAAAUUGGACCUUGUGAUUUAUACUGUAUAGUAAGUUAUCGUUGCUACUAAAAUUAUGUAAUGUUUAUCCAAAGAGAUGUUCAAAUGUAUAUUAUGGGCAAAUAAAAGAUGAUCUUAAACAGCAA